rnacentral:rRNA from 1 species
AGGGAAUCUUCGGCAAUGGACGAAAGUCUGACCGAGCAACGCCGCGUGAGUGAAGAAGGUUUUCGGAUCGUAAAACUCUGUUGUUAGAGAAGAACAAGGAUGAGAGUAGAACGUUCAUCCCUUGACGGUAUCUAACCAGAAAGCCACGGCUAACUACGUGCCAGCAGCCGCGGUAAUACGUAGGUGGCAAGCGUUGUCCGGAUUUAUUGGGCGUAAAGCGAGCGCAGGCGGUUUCUUAAGUCUGAUGUGAAAGCCCCCGGCUCAACCGGGGAGGGUCAUUGGAAACUGGGAGACUUGAGUGCAGAAGAGGAGAGUGGAAUUCCAUGUGUAGCGGUGAAAUGCGUAGAUAUAUGGAGGAACACCAGUGGCGAAGGCGGCUCUCUGGUCUGUAACUGACGCUGAGGCUCGAAAGCGUGGGGAGCGAAC